CCUCGCUAAUCUGCGGGGUUGGUUAGAUUACAAAAUGUUUAUCGCAUAUAAAAUUCAGCUAUUUUCCCAGCUUGCAUUUUUUUGAUCUACAUUUGCAAUUUAUUUGUAAAUUCUCCACAGUACAUCGUCUAACAAAUAGAUUCCAGUGUUUUGGUCCUUUACACAUACAGUUGGUUGUAGGCCCUUAGCAAAAGUAAUUGUGGCAAGAUCGAGAGGGUCAAGAUAAGUGACUGCCACAAUGAAAACACUUGACACAGACGUACGAAGAUGGUACACGGUAA